rnacentral:rRNA from 1 species
CAGCAGCCGCGGUAACACGGAGGGGGCUAGCGUUGUUCGGAAUUACUGGGCGUAAAGCGUACGUAGGCGGCUUUGUAAGUUAGAGGUGAAAGCCUGGUGCUCAACACCAGAACUGCCUUUAAGACUGCAUCGCUUGAACGUCGGAGAGGUGAGUGGAAUUCCGAGUGUAGAGGUGAAAUUCGUAGAUAUUCGGAAGAACACCAGUGGCGAAGGCGGCUCACUGGACGACUGUUGACGCUGAGGUACGAAAGCGUGGGGAGCAAACAGGAUUAGAUACCCUGGUAGUCCCUGUCUCUUAUAC